rnacentral:rRNA from 1 species
UGGGGAAUUUUGGACAAUGGGGGAAACCCUGAUCCAGCCAUCCCGCGUGUGCGAUGAAGGCCUUCGGGUUGUAAAGCACUUUUGGCAGGAAAGAAACGUCGCGGGUUAAUACCCCGCGAAACUGACGGUACCUGCAGAAUAAGCACCGGCUAACUACGUGCCAGCAGCCGCGGUAAUACGUAGGGUGCAAGCGUUAAUCGGAAUUACUGGGCGUAAAGCGUGCGCAGGCGGUUCGGAAAGAAAGAUGUGAAAUCCCAGAGCUUAACUUUGGAACUGCAUUUUUAACUACCGGGCUAGAGUGUGUCAGAGGGAGGUGGAAUUCCGCGUGUAGCAGUGAAAUGCGUAGAUAUGCGGAGGAAGCACCGAUGGCGAAGGCAGCCUCCUGGGAUAACACUGACGCUCAUGCACGAAAGCGUGGGGAGCAAACAGGAUUAGAUACCCUGGUAGUCCACGCCCUAAACGAUGUCAACUAGCUGUUGGGGCCUUCGGGCCUUGGUAGCGCAGCUAACGCGUGAAGUUGACCGCCUGGGGGAGUACGGUCGCAAGAUUAAAAACUCAAAUG